GAGACUGGAAUUCCUGGUGUAGCGGUGAAAUGCGCAGAUAUCAGGAGGAACACCGAUGGCGAAGGCAGGUCUCUGGGCAUUAACUGACGCUGAGGAGCGAAAGCAUGGGGAGCGAACAGGAUUAGAUACCCUGGUAGUCCAUGCCGUAAACGUUGGGCACUAGGUGUGGGGGACAUUCCACGUUUUCCGCGCCGUAGCUAACGCAUUAAGUGCCCCGCCUGGGGAGUACGGCCGCAAGGCUAAAACUCAAAGGAAUUGACGGGGGCCCGCACAAGCGGCGGAGCAUGCGGAUUAAUUCGAUGCAACGCGAAGAACCUUACCAAGGCUUGACAUGAACCGGUAAUACCUGGAGACAGGUGCCCCGCUUGCGGUCGGUUUACAGGUGGUGCAUGGUUGUCGUCAGCUCGUGUCGUGAGAUGUUGGGUUAAGUCCCGCAACGAGCGCAACCCUCGUUCUAUGUUGCCAGCACGUGAUGGUGGGGACUCAUAGGAGACUGCCGGGGUCAACUCGGAGGAAGGUGGGGACGACGUCAAAUCAUCAUGCCCCUUAUGUCUUGGGCUUCACGCAUGCUACAAUGGCCGGUACAAAGGGUUGCGAUACUGUGAGGUGGAGCUAAUCCCAAAAAGCCGGUCUCAGUUCGGAUUGGGGUCUGCAACUCGACCCCAUGAAGUCGGAGUCGCUAGUAAUCGCAGAUCAGCAACGCUGCGGUGAAUACGUUCCCGGGCCUUGUACACACCGCCCGUCAAGUCACGAAAGUUGGUAACACCCGAAGCCGGUG
rnacentral:rRNA from 1 species